rnacentral:tRNA from 1 species
ACCUGGAUGGCUCAGUCGGUUAAGCAUCUGACUUCAGCUCGGGUCAUGAUCUCACGGUUCGUGGGUUCGAGCCCCGCCUCAGGCU